CUGUCCAUAAAAAAAAAAAAAAGGGUCAGAGUAAAAAACAGAGUUUUAAAGAGAGAGAAGGGGGGGAGUUUUUAGUUUUAGAGAGAUAAAGAGAGAGGGGCUUUGUGUCGUGGCCAGCUUCUUAUAAAGAGGCCUCAUUGCCAAGCCAUUUCCUUAUUGUUGGAAGGCUUUUGGCGAUCAGGAGUUCAAAUGUCUGGUUGAUACCUCUACGAGUAGCACUGUGAACUUCUUCAGCUUUGUGCUGUGUACCAUUUCUUCAGUAAGCAAAGGGGGGCAUUUUUAAGGUCUAUAUCAAUCACAAGUUUGCAUCAUAGGAGGUUGCUAAGCAGUGGCUUCGAUUUGGAGUGCAAAAAUCACAUCAGCUGGAUAUUGGCUGAGUUUUCAGGUGAAAAUGUUGAUACAGAGUUCCCUAUCUACUUCAAUUGAAUGUACUCCAUUUCAUGUAUCUGACCAAGGGAAACAGGAUUUAUUUUGUGACUGGAUGCCUGGUACUGAAAUUUGGCAGAUGUGCUCAAAAUGUCAUGAACACUGCCAUAAUUGCUGUAAAGAUGCUGCUUCAAUCACCGAGGAAAAGGAGACUAACAAUUAUUCAUGCCUGUUAAGUUUUCCGAGAGGUCCUCAUCCACCAACUAUCAUUAAAAUGUCUGAAAGUUCAGCACCUAGUUUUGUAUAUUGUAGAAGGAAGUUACAAGGAAACUCUAUUGAGUUUUUAUCAGCAAUCACAAAGAGAAGUGGAGAGGAUUGUCCUUAUGCCAUCAAUUCUGAUGGUCCUUCAGUUGCAGUUAAGGAGCACUGUGUAGUUUCUGAAGAUGAGCAUGAAACCGGUACUGUUAGAGUACCUCUCAUGACUCCUAUAUUAUGCAAUGGAGUUGAUUGUUCAUGCCCCUUUUCCUUUGGAAGAAGUACUCAACUUGCAUCUGUCAGUUCAGUGUCUGAAAGUGCUGCUACUAAUUUUGUUUAUGGGAAAACAAAGCUACGACAAAACUCUGUUUCCUUUUUAUCAGCAAUGGCAAAGACAAGUGGAGAGGAUUGUCUUUCUGUGAUCAGUUCUGAUGGUCCAUCAGCUGCACGGAAGGAGCAGCGCCUAAUUUCUAUACAUGUGCAUGGAGCUGCCCUUGUACCUCGUCCUCCAGUAUGCAAUAGAGCUGAUUCUCCAUGCCCAUUAAGUUCACAAAGAAGCCCUCAGCUACCCACUGUCAGUACAAUGUCUGAAAGUUCUGCAUGUAAUUUUGUAUACAGCAGAAAGAAGCUGCGAGGAAACUCUGCUAGCUUUUUAUCAGAACAGAUCCCUGCAAUGGCAAAGAGAAGUGGAGGAGAGGAUUGUCUUUCUUUAAUCAGUUCUGAUUGUCCAUCAGCUGCACGCAAGGAGCAAUGCCUAAUUUCUCAACAUGAGCAAGGAGCUGCCCUUAUGCCUCCUCCUACAGUAUACAACAAAGAUGAUUCUCCAUGCCAAUUAUGUUUACAAAGAAGUCAGCUACCAACUGCCAGUACAAUGUCUGAGAUUUCUGCAUGUAAUUUUAUAUACAGCAGAAGGAGGAUGCGAGGAAAAUCUGUUACCUUUUUGUCAGCAGAGGUCCCUGGAAUCACGAAGAGAAGCAGAGAAGAUUGCCUUUCAGUCAUCAGUUCCGAUGGUCCUUCACUUGCAGUUGAGGAGGCACAUGUAGUUUCUCAAGAUGAUCGAGAUCAGCAUGAAAGGGGAACUGGUGGAGCUCUUAUGCCUCCUCCUAUAGCAUACAACAGUGAUGAUUCUCAAUGCCGAUUAAGUUUACAAGGAAGUCCUCAGCUACCAACUUCCAGUACAAUGUCUGAAAUUUCUGCACGUAAUUUUGUAUACAGCAGAAGGAAGCUGCGAGGAAACUCUGCUACCUUUUUGUCAGCACAGGUCCCUGGAAUCACAAAGAGAAGCAGAGAAGAUUGCCUUUCAAUCAUCAGUUCUGAUGGUCCUUCACUUGUCGUUGAGGAGGCACGUGUAGUUUCUCAAGAUCAUCAAGAUCAGUUUGAAAGGGGAACUGGUGGGGCACUUCCCAGGCCUCCUUUAGUAUGUUAUGGAGAGCCCCAUGUUUCAAAAUCAGAAUCUAGCAGUGGAUGUUCACUUGUUGAAGACCUGGUUUCUGAUGAGGCUACAAAAAAAAGCAGGCCAAAAAUCAUUGAGGUUGACAGUAUAAAUGAUAGCUGCUCAUCAUCAAAGUCAAAUAUGGAUCUUGUUUCAGAUUCUACAAAGACUGAAGGAGAUGAUAAUGGUGAGUGCUCUUCAUCCAGUAUAGUGGCAGCAGAGGUCACAGGGGAAGAUCAGUCUGAAAAUGAUCAGUGUAUCUCUAUACUCAGAAGGCAGGGGGCUUUUGAGGGAGUUUGGCCCGGCAAAACCCAUGUUUCUGCUAAAAGCAUUGGUGAUGGUAGUGGUAGUGGUAGCAGCAGUUCUCGGCCAUGCAAAAAAUGUUUUCGCAAGGGAUCCCCUGUAAAGAUGCUAAUUUGUGAUAAUUGUGAAGAUUCAUUUCAUGUAUCUUGCUGCAAUCCUCGUGUAAAAAGAAUACCAGUUGAUGAAUGGUUGUGUCGUUCUUGUUGGAAGAAGAAACGGAUAAUUCCCAAGGAGACAAUUUCCAGAAAAUCUCUCAAUAUAAUUGGUGACAUGGGCAGAUGUAGAGAUGCUUCAUCUACUGGUGAAUCAAAUCCUAUAGCAUUGAUGUUGAGAGAUACUGAGCCGUAUACAGGUGGUGUUCGAGUUGGAAAAGGUUUUCAAGUAGACAUUCCAGAUUGGUCAGGUCCAAUUAUCAAUGUCGUCGACAUUAUUGGCAAACCUUUGGUAUUGGAGCCAUCAUACUUUGUCGGUUUGUUCGAAUUGAAGUCCAACAAGUCUUCUAAACUUGGAUCUAUAGGCAAUUGGCUUCAGUGUAAACAGGUUAUAGAUGAUGCAGCAGAAGGAGGCAAUGUAACUAUAUGUGGAAAGUGGCGCAGGGCUCCUCUUUUUGAAGUCCAAACUGCUGUCUGGGAAUGCUUCUGCUGUGUCUUCUGGGAUCCAAUUCAUGCCGACUGUGCUGCACCUCAGGAGCUGGAAACAGAUGAAGUUAUGAAGCAAAUAAAGUAUAUUCAGAUGCUGAGACCCCGAAUAGCAGCUAAACAUCAGAAAUUGAGGCGUGCCAGCAUUGGCGAUCCAAUGGAUGAUUGAAAGGAGUGAUAGUUGCAAAUUUCCAAGAAUGAGCAAACACUGCUCGAUGAUUUCAAUGAAGUAUUAUCCAUACAGCUUGCUUUGUACAUUCAUUCUCACAGAAAUCCACAGCUGAGUUUUGGAGUUAGGAGAGGGACCUAAUCUAAAUAUGUGUAAUAGGUGGAUAGUGCAUUGGUAGGUUGCUCUACAGUGGAAGCAGAGUGAAGUUGAUGAUGUAACUGAUGAAAAAUCAGAGGUAAAUGAAGAGACAGUCGGUGGAUUUGUUGGGGGGUUAUGAAAGAGAAGCGACUGCGCUUGUAACUGCUGUUCUUGUACAGAAGUCCAACAAGAAAAUCUUCCUGUGUAUAUAUAUUUUAGCGAAAACAAAAAUAUAAAUGCCAGCGAUGUCUGUGGAUGCACAGACACUAUCCUUGAGACAAACAAGUGGUAGCAUUUGUUUUUGUUUUUUGGUCAGAAAUACAUGAAAAUAAUGUAUAUAUAUUCUCAGCUUCAGGUCACAAA